UACGUAGGGGGCGAGCGUUGUCCGGAUUUAUUGGGCGUAAAGAGCUCGUAGGCGGCUUGGCAAGUCGGGUGUGAAACCUCCAGGCUCAACCUGGAGACGCCACUCGAUACUGCCAUGGCUAGAGUCCGGUAGGGGACCACGGAAUUCCUGGUGUAGCGGUGAAAUUCGUAGAUAUUGGGAAGAACACCGGUGGCGAAGGCGGGUCUCUGGGAAGUAACUGACGCUGAGAAGCGAAAGCGUGGGUAGCGAGCAGG
rnacentral:rRNA from 1 species